GAUGAACGCUGGCGGCGUGCCUAAUACAUGCAAGUCGAGCGAACAGACGAGGGGCUUGCUCCUCUGACGUUAGCGGCGGACGGGUGAGUAACACGUGGAUAACCUACCUAUAAGACUGGGAUAACUUCGGGAAACCGGAGCUAAUACCGGAUAAUAUAUUGAACCGCAUGGUUCAAUAGUGAAAGACGGUUUUGCUGUCACUUAUAGAUGGAUCCGCGCCGCAUUAGCUAGUUGGUAAGGUAACGGCUUACCAAGGCGACGAUGCGUAGCCGACCUGAGAGGGUGAUCGGCCACACUGGAACUGAGACACGGUCCAGACUCCUACGGGAGGCAGCAGUAGGGAAUCUUCCGCAAAGGGCGAAAGCCUGACGGAGCAACGCCGCGUGAGUGAUGAAGGUCUUCGGAUCGUAAAACUCUGUUAUUAGGGAAGAACAAAUGUGUAAGUAACUAUGCACGUCUUGACGGUACCUAAUCAGAAAGCCACGGCUAACUACGUG
rnacentral:rRNA from 1 species